AAGUCGUAACAAGGUUUCCGUAGGUGGACCUGCGGAAGGAUCAUUAACCCGCGUAGUUUGCAAUCUCUGCUAAAUCAUAGCCCGGAAAGUUGUAGUGAUUCAGAGACCUCUGGCUACGUGCGAACAUUGGAACAGUUACAAUCGAGCAGUAGUUCUAUAGGCAAUGUUUCCCCAAGCAGUCAGUGUCGGAAAGUGUCAUUGAUUGUACAAGGAUAGCGCUUCUACGAUUCCUGUAGACCGUACACUCGGGCAGGAGCUUUGCCAAAGGGUCCCCAUGCCCCCUAAUAACCCCACAGUCUGUUAACAAUGGAUAUCUUGGUUCUC
rnacentral:misc_RNA from 1 species